rnacentral:rRNA from 1 species
GACGAACGCUGGCGGCGUGCUUAACACAUGCAAGUCGAACGGAAAGGCCCUGCUUUUGUGGGGUGCUCGAGUGGCGAACGGGUGGGUAACACGUGAGUAACCUGCCCUUGACUUUGGGAUAACUUCAGGAAACUGGGGCUAAUACCGGAUAGGAGCUCCUGCUGCAUGGUGGGGUUUGGAAAGUUUCGGCGGUUGGGGAUGGACUCGCGGCUUAUCAGCUUGUUGGUGGGGUAGUGGCUUACCAAGGCUUUGACGGGUAGCCGGCCUGAGAGGGUGACCGGCCACAUUGGGACUGAGAUACGGACCAGACUCCUACGGGAGGCAGCAGUGGGGAAUAUUGCACAAUGGGCGGAAGCCUGAUGCAGCAACGCCGCGUGCGGGAUGACGGCCUUCGGGUUGUAAACCGCUUUCGCCUGUGACGAAGCGUGAGUGACGGUAAUGGGUAAAGAAGCACCGGCUAACUACGUG